AAUUCCAGGACAUCUCUAAUCCUAUGGAAUCACAAAUCCCUUGGGAAAAAGGGGCUGGGAAAAGGGGGGGGGAACCUCUGGAAUCACAAAUCCCUUGGGAAAAAGGGGCUGGGAAAAGGGGGAUUUAUUCCCUGGGAUGAGGAAGGAGAAUUCCAGGACAUCCCAAAUCCGAUGGAAUCACGAAUCCUUUGGGAAAAGGGGGCUGGGAAAAACCAUCCCAAAUCCUAUGGAAUCAAAAAUCCUUUGGGAAAAGGGGGAUUUAUUCCCUGGGACGAGGAAGGAGAAUUCCAGGACGUCCCAAAUCCGAUGGAAUCACGAAUCCCUUGGGAAGAGCCGGGUUCAUUCCCGGGGGAUCUCCGGGAUGAGGAAGGAGAAUCCCAGGACGUCCCAAAUCCUCUGGAAUCCCAAAUCCUUUGGGAAGAGGCAGGUUCAUUCCCAGGGGGGCUCCGGGAUGAGGAAGGAGAAUCCCAGGACGUCCCAAAUCCUCUGGAAUCCCAAAUCCUUUGGGAAGAGGCAGGUUCAUUCCCAGGGGGGCUCCGGGAUGAGGAAGGAGAAUCCCAGGACGUCGCUGCCCCUUCCCAAAUCCUCUGGAAUCCCAAAUCCCUUGGGAAGAGGUGGGUUUAUACCCAGGGGGGCUCCGGGAUGAGGAAGGAGAAUCCCAGGACGUCCCAAAUCCCGAAUCCCUCGGGAAGAGGCGGAUUCAUUCCCUGGGGGGCUCUGGGACGAGGAAGGAGAAUCCCAGGACAUCCCAAAUCCUCUGGAAUCCCAAAUCCCUUGGGAAGAGGUGGAUUCAUUCCCCGGGAGGUGCCGGGAGGAGGAAGGAGAAUCCCAGGACAUCCCAAAUCCCGAAUCCUUUGGGAAGAGUUGGAUUCAUUCCCUGGGAGGUGCCGGGAUGAGGAAGGAGAAUCCCAGGACGUCCCAAAUCCUCUGGAAUCACAAAUCCUUUGGGAAAAGGGUCUGGGAAAAACCAUCCCAAACCCUCUGGAAUCCCAAAUCCCUUGGGAAGAGGCGGAUU
rnacentral:lncRNA from 1 species